GGCUGGCCCUAGUGCAGUGGUGUUUACAACUAAUUGAUCACAACCAGUUACAGAUUCCUUUGUUUCUUCUCCACUCCCACUGCUUCACUCGACUAGCCUUAA
rnacentral:Y_RNA from 1 species